rnacentral:tRNA from 1 species
AGGGCCGGGGCGUUUGGCCCCGGGCCUGAAUGGGGUUCAGGGGGUCGUCAGUUCGAAUCUGACCGUCCCGACCA